rnacentral:rRNA from 1 species
UAGGGAAUCUUCGGCAAUGGGGGGAACCCUGACCGAGCAACGCCGCGUGAGUGAAGAAGGUUUUCGGAUCGUAAAGCUCUGUUGUUAAGGAAGAACGAGUGUGAGAAUGGAAAGUUCAUACUGUGACGGUACUUAACCAGAAAGGGACGGCUAACUACGUGCCAGCAGCCGCGGUAAUACGUAGGUCCCGAGCGUUGUCCGGAUUUAUUGGGCGUAAAGCGAGCGCAGGCGGUUAGAAAAGUCUGAAGUGAAAGGCAGUGGCUCAACCAUUGUAGGCUUUGGAAACUGUUUAGCUUGAGUGCAGAAGGGGGGAGUGGAAUUCCAUGUGUAGCGGUGAAAUGCGUAGAUAUAUGGAGGAACACCGGUGGCGAAAGCGGCUCUCUGGUCUGUAACUGACGCUGAGGCUCGAAAGCGUGGGGAGCGAACAGG